CCCACUGAUGUCCCCCCAUCCCCACAAUGGCCUCACGUCCCCAUGUCUCCAUACGUCCCCCCACCCCAUUACUGCUUCCACCCCAUUAAUGUCCCACACCUCAUUCAUGUCCCACACCCCAUUAACGCCCCCCCACCCCACAAAUCUCCCCCACCCCACAGUUGGCGGCGCUGCUCCCGGCCCCACAGCAGCUCCUGUUGCAGCAGCAGCUCCUGGCGGCCGCCGUCCAUCACCGCUCCUCCGCCACCCCGAAUGUCCCCCCCACCCCAAAUGUCCCCAACGCCCCCAUUGACCCCAAUGUCCCCAACGCCGUCCCCACCACCGCCGCCGCCGCCGCCCCCACCGAGGGGGGGUCCACAGCGCUGCCCCUCUCCCACCCCAUCCAGCUGACGGCGCAGGACCUGCAGCAGCUCCUGCAGCUCCAGCAGCUGGUUUUGGUGCCCGGCCCCCACGCGCUGCCGCCGUCCGCUCCGUUCCUGCUGCCCCCGACCCCACAGGGACAGCAAGGGCUGCUGCCCACCCCCAACCUCUUUCAGCUACCUCAGCCGACCGGGGGGCUGCUGCCCGCCCCCCCCCGCGCGGGGCUGCCCCAGCAGGU